AGUGAACGCUGGCGGUAGGCCUAACACAUGCAAGUCGAACGGCAGCACAGUAAGAGCUUGCUCUUACGGGUGGCGAGUGGCGGACGGGUGAGGAAUACAUCGGAAUCUACUUUUUCGUGGGGGAUAACGUAGGGAAACUUACGCUAAUACCGCAUACUACCUACGGGUGAAAGCAGGGGAUCUUCGGACCUUGCGCGAUUGAAUGAGCCGAUGUCGGAUUAGCUAGUUGGCGGGGUAAAGGCCCAACAAGGCGAAGAUCCGUAGCCGGUCUGAGAGGAGGAUUCGCCCAAAUGGAACUGGGAACCGGUCCAGAACCCUAAGGGAGGGAACAGUUGGGAAUAUUGGACAAUGGGCGGAAGCCUGAUCCAGCCAUACCGGGGGGGUGAAGAAGGCCUUCGGGUUGUAAAGCCCCUGUGUUGGGAAAGAAAAGCAGCAGGUUAAUACCCCGCUGUUCUGACGGUACCCAAAGAAUAAGCACCGGCUAACUUCGUG
rnacentral:rRNA from 1 species